AACGCAUAUUGCGCCCUUUGGUAUUCCGAAGGGCAUGCCUGUUCGAGCGUCAUUAUCACCCCUCAAGCCCCCGGCUUGGUGUUGGGACGGCUUGGUUUUGGCGACAAGACCCCUCCUAAAAUCAACGACGGCGGCCUGUUGACCCCCGGUACAUUGAGCUUCUUAACUGAGCACGUAUCGGUCUUCAGGGUAGACAGGUCCCGGUCUUCUUUCCCUUGAUGGGAAAACUCUCCAAAGGUUGACCUCGGAUCAGGUAGGGAUACCCGCUGAACUUAA
rnacentral:misc_RNA from 1 species